GACGAACGCUGGCGGCGUGCCUAAUACAUGCAAGUCGAACGCAGUGGGGACGGGUGAGUAACACGUGGGUAACCUCCCAUCAGAGGGGAUAACACUUGGAAACAGGUGCUAAACCGAUACUGAUGGAUGAACCCGCGGGGGAUUAGCUAGUAGGUGGGGUAACGGCUCACCAAGGCCACGAUGCAUAGCUGGUCUGAGAGGGUGACCAGCAACACUGGGACUGAGACACGGGCCAGACUCCUACGGGAGGCAGCAGUAGGGAAUCUUCGACAAUGGACGAAAGUCUGACCAAGCAACGCCGCGUGAAUGAAGAAGGUUUUCGGAUCGUAAAGCUCUUUUAUUGGAGAAGCGGUACCUGACCAGAAAGCCACGGCUAACUACGUGCCAGCAGCCGCGGUAAUAC
rnacentral:rRNA from 1 species